GGUGCCUACUCUGCUUUAACAGUAAGCAUGCACUCUCGGCUCGCCGGGCCGCAAAGAUGUCCAUUGUGGGCCAAAUGCGGGCCGCGAGUUUGACAUGCUUGCUUUAGAGGAAGUGUUUAGGAAGGCUGUGUAAGUCAUAGCCAUGGGAGAUGUGGCUCGGGCUGCAUGGACAUACACUAAAGGGAUUUAACUCCUAAUGGCAGAUAAUUGAGCAGUGAGACUGCAUGGGCAUGAUCUAUACACCAAAACUUCUUCAUUAAGCAAAACUUGUUUUGGUAACUGUAGUGUCCCUUUACAGUAU